rnacentral:rRNA from 1 species
CCUACGGGUGGCAGCAGUGAGGAAUAUUGGUCAAUGGCCGGGAGGCUGUACCAGCCAAGUAGCGUGCGGGAUGACGGCCCUACGGGUUGUAAACCUCUUUUGUGCGGGAGCAAGAUGCAGGACGGGACCUGCUGUGUGAGUACCUGAAGAAUAAGCACCGGCUAAUUCCGUGCCAGCAGCCGCGGUAAUACGGAGGAUGCGGGCGUUAUCCGGAUUUAUUGGGUUUAAAGGGUGCGUAGGCGGGAGCAUAAGUGUGCCGGGAAAUGCCGGGGCUCAACCCCGGCCCCGCGUUGGAAACUGGGUCGCUUGAGUGCGCGGAGGGUAGGCGGAAUGCGUGGUGUAGCGGUGAAAUGCUUAGAUAUCACGAAGAACUCCGAUCGCGAAGGCAGCAUACGGGAGCGCAACUGACGCUGAUGCACGAAGGCGUGGGUAUCGAACAGGAUUAGAUACCCUAGUAGUC